rnacentral:rRNA from 1 species
GGCGCACGGGUGAGUAACACGUAUGCAACCUACCUUUAACAGGGGAAUAACCCGUUGAAAAACGGACUAAUACUCCGUAACACAGGGGUCCCGCAUGGGAAUAUUUGUUAAAGAUUUAUCGGUUGAAGAUGGGCAUGCGUUCCAUUAGCUUGUUGGUGAGGUAACGGCUCACCAAGGCUACGAUGGAUAGGGGAACUGAGAGGUUUAUCCCCCACACUGGAACUGAGACACGGUCCAGACUCCUACGGGAGGCAGCAGUGAGGAAUAUUGGUCAAUGGAGGCAACUCUGAACCAGCCAAGUCGCGUGAAGGAUGAAGGUCUUAUGGAUUGUAAACUUCUUUUGCAAGGGAAUAAAGUGGGGGACGUGUCCUCCUUUGCAUGUACCUUGCGAAUAAGGAUCGGCUAACUCCGUGCCAGCAGCCGCGGUAAUACGGAGGAUCCGAGCGUUAUCCGGAUUUAUUGGGUUUAAAGGGUGCGCAGGCGGGAUGUUAAGUCGGCGGUGAAAUUUUGCAGCCCAACUGUAAAAGUGCCUUCGAUACUGGCUUUCUUGAGUGUGGAUGAAGUAGGCGGAAUUUGUGGUGUAGCGGUGAAAUGCUUAGAUAUCACGAGGAACUCCGAUUGCGCAGGCAGCUUACUAAACCACUACUGACGCUCAUGCACGAAGGCGUGGGGAUCAAACAGGAUUAGAUACCCUGGUAGUCCACGCAGUAAACGAUGAUUACUAGUUGUUUGCGAUACAAUGUAAGCGACUGAGCGAAAGCGUUAAGUAAUCCACCUGGGGAGUACGUUCGCAAGAAUGAAACUCAAAGGAAUUGA